AAGAAUAUCAAACUCCGAAUGCCGCGUAAUCGAUUAUCGGGAGUCAGACUGCACGAGAUAAGUUGGGCGGUCAAAAGGGAAAGAGCCCAGACCUUCAGUUAAGGUCCCCAAGUGCGCGUUAAGUGGAAAAGGAUGUGGGAUUUCGAAGACAACCAGGAUGUUGGCUCAGAAGCAGCCAUCCAUUCAAAGAGUGCGUAAUAGCUCACUGGUCGAGAGGUCCUGCGCCGAAAAUGUCCGGGGCUGAAACGCGCCACCGAAACUAAGGAACCGAAAGGUUGGUAGAGGAGCAUUGCAUGCGGAACGAAGCAGUACCGUAAGGAGCUGUGGACUGCAUGGAAGAGAGAAUGCCGGAAUGAGUAGCGAGAAUAAGGUGAGAAUCCUUAUGGCCGAAUAUCCAAGGUUUCCAGAGUAAAGCUGAUCUGCUCUGGGUAAGUCGGGGCCUAAGGCGAGGACGAGAGUCGUAGCCGAUGGACAACAGGUGGAGAUUCCUGUACUGCGGUAUGACAGAACUGUGGGGACACGUAAGGAAAGCGGAAGCCGGGGAUGGAUUGUCCCGGUGCAAGCGGGGUACCAGUCACUUAGGCAAAUCCGGGUGGCAAUGGGAAGCCGUGAUGCGGAGUGAAAUAAAGUAACGAAGUCCGUGAGCCAUGCGUCAAGAAAAGCCGCUAUCGUUUAUACCGUACCCGUACCGUAAACCGACACAGGUGGAUGAGGAGAGAAUCCUAAGGCCGGCGGAAGAAGCAUUGUCAAGGAACUCGGCAAAAUGGCCCCGUAACUUAGGGAUAAGGGGUGCCUGGGAAACCAGGCCGCAGAGAAUAGGCUCAAGCAACUGUUUAGCAAAAACACAGGUCUAUGCGAAACCGAAAGGUGAGGUAUAUGGGCUGACGCCUGCCCGGUGCUGGAAGGUUAAGAGGAGAGGUUAGCGGUAACGCGAAGCUUUGAAUUUAAGCCCCAGUAAACGGCGGCCGUAACUAUAACGGUCCUAAGGUAGCGAAAUUCCUUGUCGGGUAAGUUCCGACCCGCACGAAAGGCGUAAUGAUUUGAGCGCUGUCUCGACAAUGCAUCCGGUGAAAUUGAAGUACCAGUGAAGAUGCUGGUUACCUGCGCCAGGACGGAAAGACCCCAUGGAGCUUUACUCCAGUCUGGUACUGGGACUCGGUAUUGCAUGUACAGGAUAGGUGGGAGGCUAGGAAAUGGUAACGCCAGUUGCCAUGGAGCCGCUGUUGGGAUACCACCCUUGCAGUAUUGGGUUUCUAACCAGCCGCCGUGACCCGGCGGUGGGACAAUGCCAGACGGGGAGUUUGACUGGGGCGGUCGCCUCCGAAAGGGUAUCGGAGGCGCCCAAAGGUUCCCUCAGGAUGGACGGAAACCAUCCAAAGAGUGCAAAGGCAGAAGGGAGCUUGACUGCGACACC
rnacentral:rRNA from 1 species